rnacentral:ribozyme from 1 species
CGUGUAGUAAUUCCUAUCCCUACCUCCCCGUGGUGACGCCUGGGAUACGAGUAACCUUAGGGAAGAUCGGAUAAUCCCGGUGGGACCUAGGACGUAUGCUGGCAGGGGAGG